CUACAAAAACAAUAUAGGACGGUGGUCGGCAACUUAACAACUGUAAUCAAAGAGAUAUAUAAGACAGGAGGAAGGAAAUUUGGGCUUUCAAGCGUGGGAGCUUCGGGUUGUUCACCAGUUGGAGGGCAGCUGUAAUGGAAGCUCAGGAUCCUGCUUGGAGACUCCUGCUUCAGAGUUAGCAAAACUAACACAACAUAGAACUCUAUAAAGCCCUGGAGGUUAGAGAAGCAACUAACAGGAUUCAAAUAUUCAGUUCACAAUUUCUACGAUUCUGGCGUUGAAUUAUUAACAAUCCUUCAAGAUAUGGUUCAAGGAGGCUAUGACGGCAUGUUGUGCAGUGGACCAUACAGAGGAAUAUCAAGCUGUGGGGGGAAGAGAAUUGGGAUAGAAGAGUAUGAACUAUGUGACAAUCCUGCGGAAUAUUUCUACUUUGACUCUGGUCAUGCAACCGAAAGGGCAUACAAGCUAUUUGCGAACUAUGUGGAGUGAACUC